GGUAAAUAUAACAUUAAGAGGAUUUCUGCACUGCAACACAUGUAACGACUCAAGAGAAUGUCAUCACUGGUACCUGAUGUCUGCGAUGCUGCUUAAGAGGCACUAGCCAUCGAUUCUAUAAGGAGCUUGUAACCUUCUGGGACAGCUGACUGUGUAAGCACACAUUCUGCCAAUGCAGGAACAUCUGCAUUAAUGUCCAGAAAUUUCGCCAGCAACAGUAGCAGAUGGAAAUCUGAGAUUCGCUUCACAAAAGAAAGACUCUUUGUUCGAUUGAAAUGAUCUUUCAAUGCAUUCAUGCUCACUGGAAUAAUCCUGUUUUCAAUGGGAAAUGAUGAAGAAAGUGGACCCUGGUGAUCCGCAAUCUUGACAACAACCAAGAAGAAGUCGUUAUCAACUUCUCUUGUGUCCUUGACUCCUACCACCACAUCUUUCUUCAUCUUGGAAAGCUUUGGAUCAAUCUCAUCCUUAACAUCCGUCUCAAACCAGCCUUCCUUGAACAAUCUCACACACAUAUCACUCAUCUGAAAAGCCUCAAAAUGUACAUCGGCAGCGCCAUCGUCAUUCACCUCAAGCUUCACUAUAGCGGUCACCCAUUCCUUCAAAUCACCCUCCGAAUGUAACUCAGCUGCCUGUAAGACCUCUGCAGUUGACAUAGUGUAAUCCUUUUUAUCCUGACUAAUUGUCUGAGUAAAUAUAAACCCUACUUUCCUCAUCCCUAAUCCAAUAGCUAUAGCAUCCACCAAUUUCUCCUCAUCAGGAUCGCGUAGAAGCAACAAAUUUUCCUCGGUCCCUUGCUGGGGCGGCUCAUAAAUAAAAUGGACUUCCACUUUGCCUUCAGGGGAUACUGUACCAUACAUAAAACCACCCCUUUUGACAGCAAAGGCGAGUGUUUCAUUGACAUAAUGUUGAAAGGCAUUGGCGGCAUCACGAUCGAAGGAAACGAGUUCGCAGUGAGGGUUCUCUUGUCUAGUAACUCGCAUUUGUUUAGCAAUUAGGUCGUCCAUGGUCAUCUUUCUACCGAAUGAACCGGCGGGCUGUACGGUGGGACCGGGAAUUGUGCGCUCACCCUGGUAAGCAAGAUAAAGGAUAGAACCGUGAGUAAGAUUGAAAGAGGAGAUGGGUGUAUGAGGGUUGUCCAUAUCAGUGAAGCGAGACCAAUCAUCUGGGGUUUUAGCGAGCAAAAGGUUCUGAUUGGAAGAUAGGGUUUGCGAUUGAACUGGAACUCGAAGUUGGGAUUCGAUUUGGGACUUGAGUUGGGCAAUUGUGGCAUGUGGGUUGUCAAUUGUGACUCGCUCUAACCCAUCUCUGCUUCUGAUUCUGAUCAUCAUCUUGGUUGUAUUCCUAUGGUGAUUGAUAUGUUUAGUGCAGGUGAAUCUGUAUGGAAGUUGGGGAGGACCGUCGAAGAAGAAAGGAAGUAGAA
rnacentral:misc_RNA from 1 species